UAAAAGUCGUAACAAGGUAUCUGUAGGUGAACCUGCAGAUGGAUCAUCGACGAAACCGAAAUACAAGGUUCCUUUGAUCAUGAGAAACCAACGGCUGGUUUUACGACAUUGUCGUGAAAGUUGGAAGUAUCACCCCCGUUAAAGCUCUUUAUGUGAGGUGUCUAUGUAUGACAUGAGUCGUUCUUGAGUGACGCCUAUGAUUGUUCAUGCGAAGUUCCCAUCUUUGAUGGUAGAGCUUGAGACUUGAUGAGUAUUGCAACAAUACCGCCUCACAGUUUCGUAAUGGUGGUUGAGUACGUAACCGUACGGUACCUGGUUGUCAGGAAAUCUUAAUGAUCUCGCUUAGACGCCAUUACGAAACACACUUUUCUAUAUUUGAAGUUUGCAGAAUCGUGUACACAUGUUUGUGUCACAAUAGUCGACUAGCUUCAGCGAUGGAUCGGUCGAUUCGCGUAUCGAUGAAAAACGCAGCUAGCUGCGUUAUUUACCACGAAUUGCAGACGCUUAGAGUGGUGAAAUUUUGAACGCAUAGCGCCGUUGGGUUUUCCCUUCGGCACGUCUGGUUCAGGGUUGUUAUUGAAUUACUACAGUGUGGCCAACUCUAACACUGUUUGUCGAAUGGCAUUUGUCCUUUAUUGUGACAAUUCCCACUUCAGGUCAAGAAUAACAUAUGCAACAUGAUGUUAGUGUCGUUACGACGUUGACAUUCCUGAAUGAUAUGAACAUGUUGUCACUGUAUGAAUGUACUCAGUGAAUGUGAGAUUGAUUCAAACAGGGACCUGCAUGGCAAUAAUGUUCGAAUAUCAUUUGUAUUGCAACCUGAGCUCAGGCGUGAUUACCCGCUGAACUUAAGC
rnacentral:sRNA from 1 species